UACAGAGGGUGCAAGCGUUUGUUCGGAAUUACUGGGCGUAAAGCGCGUGUAGGCUGCAAUGUAAGUCGGAUGUGAAAGCCCUCAGCUUAACUGAGGAAGUGCAUCUGAUACUGCAUCGCUUGAGUGUCGGAGGGAUGGCGGAAUUCCGGUGUAGAGGUGAAAUUCGUAGAUAUUCGGAAGAACACCAGUGGCGAAGGCGGCUAACUGGCCCAUUACUGACGCUGAGGCUCGGAAAGCGUGGGGAGCAAACAGG
rnacentral:rRNA from 1 species